GACGGAGGAUGCAAGUGUUAUCCGGAAUCACUGGGCGUAAAGCGUCUGUAGGUGGUUUAAUAAGUCAACUGUUAAAUCUUGAGGCUCAACCUCAAAAUCGCAGUCGAAACUAUUAGGCUAGAGUAUAGUAGGGGUAAAGGGAAUUUCCAGUGGAGCGGUAAAAUGCGUAGAGAUUGGAAAGAACACCGAUGGCGAAGGCACUUUACUGGGCUAUUACUAACACUCAGAGACGAAAGCUAGGGUAGCAAAUGGG
rnacentral:rRNA from 1 species